AUGUUGGUCUAGCGGCGGUCGUCAUCGGAUCAAGGAGGUUGAAGGUGGUUUAGAUAAAUGGUUGAAGGUGCCGGAAAACUCAACCCAAGGUCGCUCCUUUUGUAAAUAUAAUUAUAUGGGAAAAUAGAGAAGAAAGAUACAAUGAUGAAUAUAUGUAGUUUUUUUUACUAAAAGACGACGGCCGUAGCGAUGGACGACGGCGAGUGGGAUUUCAACGCAAGAAUCAUUGACUAGUUUAAUAUUUUGUCCUAUGUUUAUU
rnacentral:lncRNA from 1 species